rnacentral:rRNA from 1 species
UACGUAGGAUGCAAGCGUUGUCCGGAUUUACUGGGCGUAAAGCGCGCGCAGGCGGCACUCUAAGUACGUCGGGAAAUAUCCCGGCUCAACCGGGAGGGUGCGAUGUAGACUAGGGAGCUAGAGGUCGGUAGAGGGGGGUGGAAUUGCUGGUGUAGCGGUGGAAUGCGUAGAUAUCGGGAGGAACACCAGUGGCGAAGGCGGCUUCCUGGACCGGUUCUGACACUGAGGAGCGAAAGCGUGGGGAGCGAUCCGG